rnacentral:lncRNA from 1 species
UUAAUAUAGAACGGUUGUAGAAAAUAUUGCCUGGCAAGGCUAUUUGUUUUUCUGGGACGCCUUCUUAGGACUGACGUCUGACAAGGCUAUUAUUUUUUUUCUGGGACACCUUCCUGCGACGUCAUAACAAGGAAGCCAUUUUUUACAUCUGGACUUUGAGAGUAAAUUUUGGGGGGAACUUUGCGACCUAAUUUAUCGUAGGAAGGUGUCCCAGAAAAAAAAUAGUCUUGCCAGCCGUCAUAAUUAUUAGGACUAAAUUUUGUUCCACGUAAAAUUUUGAUGGUAUAAUAAUAAAUAUCUGAUCAGUGGCGGACCUAGAAAUUUUCAUAAGUGGGGGUCCACUGACUGCUUAAGAGGGGGCCCACUUUAGUCAUGCUUCAGUGAUUCCCUAUAUAAGCAACCUAAUUUUUUCCCCAAAAGGGGGGGGGGCAUUUUUUCCGCGUAAGACGUAACAACAAUAACUAACCAUCCAAAUAUAAAGGAAGAAAAAAUACUAACUACUUAAUGGAUUUCAAUGUUUGUACAGGUGGGAUGUAAUAUGACCAUAUUCAUGAUGUGAAACGUUCACGAUAAAUAUUAUGUCAGUUCGCAAUUUAGCGGCCAUUUUCGAAUUUCAUGGAGCUGUAAGAUUUGAAAAUUUAAGUAUACAAACAUGAAAGCAAC